AUGCAGAUAUCGCAGGCUGGUGAUGGACUGGAGCUGAGAAGACACAGAGGAACUCACACGAGACGAGGAACAACGCUGGAGACAGGUAUUCAUUCAUAUGAACUCACUCAGCCUGAGUCUCUGACUGUCCGUCCUGAUGCCACUCUAACUAUCAACUGUAAAGUCUCAUAUUCAGUUACUAGUGAACUAGUACAGGCCUGGAUUCGUCAGCCUGCAGGAAAAGCUCUGGAGUGGAUUGGAUUGAUCUGGUAUGAUGGAGACUUAGCCUACAAGGAUUCACUGAAAAGCAAAUUCAGCAUCACCCGAGACACCUCCAGUAACACAAUAACACUGCAGGGAAAUAAUAUGCAAGCUCAAGACACAGCUGUGUAUUAUUGUGCAAGACAGACACAGUGA